rnacentral:lncRNA from 1 species
AAUGUAAACACUACAGCUAACAAUUCCAAAUCAUGGAUCGGAUAAUUCUUCUCAUGAACUUUCAACUGCCUAAAAGCAUAGGCAACCACCUUGCUAUGCUACAUCAACACACAACCCAGCCGUACAUGAGACACAUCGCAAUAGACAACUAAACCAUCAGUGCCCUCAGGUAGAGUCAAAACCAAAGACGAAGUCAACUUAUUCUUUAGCUAUUC